rnacentral:rRNA from 1 species
GAUGAACGCUGCGGCGUGCUUAACACAUGCAAGUCGCACGGAAAGGCCCUGCUUUUGUGGGGUGCUCGAGUGGCGAACGGGUGAGUAACACGUGAGUAACCUGCCCUUGACUUUGGGAUAACUUCAGGAAACUGGGGCUAAUACCGGAUAGGAGCUCCUGCUGCAUGGUGGGGGUUGGAAAGUUUCGGCGGUUGGGGAUGGACUCGCGGCUUAUCAGCUUGUUGGUGGGGUAGUGGCUUACCAAGGCUUUGACGGGUAGCCGGCCUGAGAGGGUGACCGGCCACAUUGGGACUGAGAUACGGCCCAGACUCCUACGGGAGGCAGCAGUGGGGAAUAUUGCACAAUGGGCGGAAGCCUGAUGCAGCAACGCCGCGUGCGGGAUGACGGCCUUCGGGUUGUAAACCGCUUUCGCCUGUGACGAAGCGUGAGUGACGGUAAUGGGUAAAGAAGCACCGGCUAACUACGUG